rnacentral:rRNA from 1 species
AGUGAACGCUGGCGGUAGGCCUAACACAUGCAAGUCGAACGGCAGCACAGUAAGAGCUUGCUCUUACGGGUGGCGAGUGGCGGACGGGUGAGGAAUACAUCGGAAUCUACUUUUUCGUGGGGGAUAACGUAGGGAAACUUACGCUAAUACCGCAUACGACCUACGGGUGAAAGCAGGGGAUCUUCGGACCUUGCGCGAUUGAAUGAGCCGAUGUCGGAUUAGCUAGUUGGCGGGGUAAAGGCCCACCAAGGCGACGAUCCGUAGCUGGGCUGAGAGGAUGAUCAGCCACACUGGAACUGAGACACGGUCCAGACUCCUACGGGAGGCAGCAGUGGGGAAUAUUGGACAAUGGGCGCAAGCCUGAUCCAGCCAUACCGCGUGAGUGAAGAAGGCCUUCGGGUUGUAAAGCACUUUUGUUGGGAAAGAAAAGCAGCAGGUUAAUACCCCGCUGUUCUGACGGUACCCAAAGAAUAAGCACCGGCUAACUUCGUG